CAUCUCACCCCCUAAAAAAUGGUAAAAGUUACAAAAGGGACGUAAAAAAAAAAAAAAAUCCAAAGUGGUUUCCUUCCUUUCUAAACCUUGUGAAAUUUGCCUGAUUUUUUAUCCCUCGCCUUUCUCUCUCUCUCUUUUUCUCCUCCAUCCAUCUGAUCUUGUAAUAACCACAUUCCUCUCUAAUCAAAAGCUUUUCUCUCCUCCCCAUCCUCCGCGCCAGGCUCUUCCCCUCGUUAGUUGCCCAUCGUGUGUUUCAACACGAGCGUGAUCCUAUUAAGAGUCAUCUUGGGACUGUUACUUGUUAAACCAAACCAACCUUGAGUCGCCUUUUGGAGCCUGUAAAACACUGUCGCCCGCCUGUGUUUUCUGUUUUGUUUAAUCUCACACUUAUCUCUGAGAAAAAUCACCCGACAACAAAAAAAAAGGUUACUUAACACUGAACCAAUUAGGUGAAAUCAUCGUCAAGCGGCGGGAGGAAGAAGCAGAGCGUUCUGCCAGUUUUCCUCUCAGAGAGUGACAUGGGUGAAUUAAAGGAGUGAUUGAUGUCUUUGUUCAGGCUUUUAUGACAAAAAGAGUUUUGUAAACUUGAAUUGAACUUCCCCCUGCUCUCUGAGCUUGCUUGUCAGGCAGGAUAAUAAAUCAGCAGGAUUUUAAUGGAUGAAUGGGCAGCUAAGCUGGGGAGCAGGCUCCUUCCCCGGUGUUGUUAAGAUCUGCCUCUGAUUCCGCAGGUUUCCUCACUUUUCCUCCUCUUUAGCCCAACAAAUCAUCCUGCAGCAAUUCAGUUUAUAAAUAAACACAAUAGCACACUCCCUGUUGCUUCCUCUGGCUGUCACGGGCAGUAUUUAUGCCCACGGAGCAGCAGUGCCAGGCGGGGACGCGGCACUGCUUGCCCACAGCUGACAGCACUGCCUGCGACUGGGAGGUGUGGGGCAGCUCCUGGGCACAGCCCCAAAUUGGGGGUUCACGCUGGGCUCUGUAGUGCACAGGCAGUGAUGUCCCAGGGACAGUGAAGUAGUGCUACCAACCCUGGGGCAAGAUCAGAGUUGGUUCUUGGGUCUCCUCUGCAAGUUAAGAUGGGGGAGGAGAAAAGCAUAAUUUUUGGGGCUUCAGCAGGUUGAUGGUUGGGUCUUGGAACCCCUCUCCAUGUCAAGAAGAGGAUGAGCUUUUGUGAGGCUUUAGUAGAUUGCUAGUUAGGUCUUGGGUCCCCUCCCAAAGUCAGCAUGGAGGGAAAGAAGAGAUGAGCAUCCUUCAUGGGGCUUCAGCACAUUUCUGGGCUGCUCUUCAGGCUUUGGGUGCCCAGUGGGCUGAGACCCAUUGUCUUGGCUUAUGUAAACCAAUGCAGGCUUAAGGAGAGGAAACAAGGAGCCAGAUUUUGAAUGGCUCCAAAUCCCAGGGUGUUCACAUCUGAGGGUUAGAGCUGGGCCCGUCCUUAAUUAAAAAAAUAAAUUAAGAAUUAAAAGCUUUCCAUUUACAGUGGUUCACUCCAGAGCGGAUGCAUGGAGAAAAGCCCCAAGCCAGUCAAGAGUGCCUGAACAAUGGAACUCUACCAGAGCACCUCCUGCCUCCCACCACAGAAACAGCAUCACCAGGAGAAAAUCUGCCCUUUCUCCACAUUCUUGAAGGACACCCACCCUAAACCUUUUCCAAAAGCCCUCUCAGAAAAGCAAGCCAGGCUUGGUACCCAAGGCAGGGUCUUAAUCCCUGCUCUGCCUUGCUUGUCAUGCUGGAAAUUAAAGUUCUGCUGCAAGUUUAGAGCAGUCCCAGACCACAUAGAUUCCCUGAUGGAUGAUAAGUACAGUUUUAUUUCCAGCAGUAUUUGCUCAGGUGAAUGCAAGAGCCCCAUCCAGCUGCUGGUGAAGCCAAAACCAGCAGGUACCACUAAGUAACUCUGAUAAAUCCCAGUCGAUAGGAGUGGGGAUGCAAAGCCUGGGUUGGGAGGACUCAUCUUGCAUGUCUCCCUUUUUCCUUGAGCCAAGCAAGUCGUGAGCACAGAGGAGGAAAAGGCUGUUGUCAGAGGGAAGUUACAGAUCCGGGAUGGCUGUGCAGUGCCAAUCCAAGCUCUGGAUAUCAGGUGGUGUGAAGGGAUGUCUCUCCUGGGGGGUCUCACACGGACAGCUGGAUGAGGAUACGAUGGCUUGGCCCAAAAUCGCCGCGCCCUCAUUAAUGUUGAAAUCGGCACGUUUUUGUGAGCUCUGUGUGUUUUUAAUCAGGUCUCUGAAACCACUACUCACUGAGCAGUUCCUGUGAAUUAUCGACUUUGGGGUGGUUGUUAUUCUGUUACUGGGUUUUUUUUUGAGCUUCCUUUUAUAUUCUCCCUUUAAAAAAUCGCAGAGAUCCUGAGCACAGCCCUCCGCUCCUUGAGCUCCACGUUAGGUCCACACCACCCUUAUCUCCUGUCAUCUCCAUUUUAUUGUGUGUCUGCCUCUCUCUCACUCUCUCAGCUCUCUGGUUGCAAUGUGCUGUGGCACCGUGAUCUUUUCACACAAAAAAGUAGCUGGUUGGAGUUUGUUUUGGCAGGCAGAGACUCCAGAUGUUGCAUUUGCUGGAUUGUGCAUUGCCUUUUGCUUUGUUUUAGGGGGUGAAUUAUCUUGUGACCCUAAGACUAUGUUGUUCAGAUUUUGCUUUUGCAAUAGGAAAUUUACUGAGUGGUUUUACCCCCCACCCCACUUCUAUUCCCAUUUUCUUAAUUAUAAAAGUUGGCUUUAGUCUUUCAAAUUUGACUAGGGAAAAAAAAAAAAAAUCCCCUUCUCUGUCCUAACUGCAGUUAUAAGGUGAUUUUAGUUAUUGCAAUUGAGACUUAACCAAGGGUGUUUGCUGAUGGGAGAUCUCAUUUAUAAGCAACAAAGGAGGCUGCAGAUGCCUUUUCUUAAAAAAGAAGAAAAAAAGUUGACUGUGGGGGGGUGGUGGUGGUGAAUUCUGAUGAUAGUUUUCAUUCUUUAAAGCUGCCUCUUGCUUGGUUAUAAAUUAUCUGGACUGAGCCUUGUCCUUAACAGUGCACCCAAGAGUUUCACCAUGUUGGAGAUCUGGGUUGCAACACCCUCAGCAGAGCCCCAAGUCCUGCUGGGGCCACACUGAUGUCCUGGAAAAAGGAGGGGGGAUCUGCCUUCAGCUCCAGCCAGGAGUACAGAGGAUGCAACAGCAAGGGAAAGGGAAAUCCAAGUUUUCCUUACUGCCAAGGUGCCCUGUUUCUGCAUGGCACAUGAUCCUCAGUGGCCAGGGGUUAUCUGAAAGCCUCACAGGGAUCUGUAGUGUUUGGGGUCCAGCUUGCUGGUCCCACUCUCCCUUUUUUCCAGUUUUUCCCCCAGAGGGCUGAAUUCUGGUGCCCUGCAGGGAAGCAGAUGAGGGUCGGGACAAGGCUGUGAGGGUGCAUGGCUGGGGGCUCUCCCUGGAGACUGACAUUUGUAGGGGUGCAGAGCUGUGCAUCACAGCCCCCUAAACCUCUGGCCCCAAAGCUGUGGGGCAGAACUUAUUUCCCCAGCAAUCAGCACAACCACAGUCGCUCAGUAUACACAGAGCAGGAUCCAAGGGCGGACAGCACACCCCAAACACCCACGGCAAGGUUCCCCUCGUUGCUUUUGCUUAGCCCCCCGUGCUAGGCAGCAACAUCGCCGUGGCCACGGGAGCUCAGCCCGAGCAGGGAGGGAUGGGUGAGGGAUUUUUUUUCUCUCUCUGCUUCAUCCUCCCCCCGUCCCGGCUCUUCUGGCAGUCGCAGACUCCAGAUGUUCGGAGCGCGAGCUGGGAAGUCCUGCUGGCGCCACUUGGGGCAGAGGGCAGGGGAAAGGCACGCGAGCUGGAACCCGGAGUACUCAGUCACUGCAGGACUUGGCGCAUUCCCCAGCUCGCUGCUGGCACAUUCCCCAGCUCUCUCCUGGCCAUCUGUUCCAAAAAAACACUUUCAGAACCUCAUCAUCACUCAGGAUACAACACUGCGAGCAGCUGUUAGCGAGGCAGAAGGGGGAAAAAAAAAAGAAAAAAAAAAAAAAACACACUCACACAUUAAAAAAAAAAAAAAAACAUGCGAAAGGUCUCUUUGUGAGAGAGGAAACUGGGUUAUGAAUAACAGGCGAGCAGUUGGAGCUCAAUAAAAGUUUUCGGCUGGAAUUUAGUUUCUUGUUUUUUGUGCCUGUGUGUGUGGAUGAGCACAGACACAAGGAAUUAAAAAUUAAAAAUACGCUGUACAUAUAUCUUUUCCCAGAUAAUUAAAUUAUAUAGAAACAUAUAUGGAAUGAAAAGCUUUUCUGUUUCUUGCAGCCUGCUGCACUAAAAGGGCUGACACUAUGUAUGUAAUUAUUGCAUUAUAUAAAAUAGUUAUUGUGGUGUUGUGCCAUGCCUUGAUGCCCCCUUAUUUCUACUUUGCUAAAAGCAGAGCUCCUGCUGUAGGUAACACUUAUUCCCACUGAAAAAAUUGGAAGGAGGGCGUUCUGCAGCCGUAUUUACUUGCAGGAGUGAACAAGUUAAGGGUUUAUAUUAUAAAAGAGAAAUGGUAGUGGCAGACUUGAUUUGUACAGCACUGAAACCAUUUGCUUGGAGCAUAUUUUUUUGAUAACACCGUAUCAUGACUCGUGAUUUAUUUAGACAAAGCCCCGAGAUAAAGCCACAGCUGCCACCCCCUGGUUUGUGUGGAUGAUCCUGGCUGCAGGGUCUUGCUGUUAUUGAUCAUCUGAUAUUGAUUAUCAGAACCAUUCAGAGCCAACACAGUAAAACCUUGAUGAUCCGCAUGGCAUUUCUUCCUCGUGGCUUCCCAUCCUGUGUGGGGAGGAGGGGGGUCUCAUAAUGAGAUUCGACCUCCCUUUCCCCUGCAGUUUGACUUAGCAGAGGUUCCUCUUUAAAAAUAGCUUCAUUUCCCUGCUAGGACUUGCCGGCGAGAGCGGGCAGCCAGCCAGUCUGAUCCCCACGGCCGCCAGCUCCGCGGGCUCCAGGGAGGAGCUGGACCACAGGAGAGCAGCGAGCUGCCUGUCCAUCUGUCCAUCUGCCAUGGGACAGCAUCCCUGGGGGGACAGAGGGGACCUGGGUCUGCCUGGCCAUGAGUUAUCCCUGCUGCAUGCUGGUUGAAGGAUUACCCACCCCAGGGACCUGGUUAAAAACAAGGCAGUGAGAUUAAUUUGCUUAUCACUUGUGUCUUGUAUGUCCCUGCAGCCCAAAACAAGGCUUGCAGGUGGGGCACGGGUCCUAAGGUUUGUGACAAGUUCAUGGGCAAGAUCACCCAACUCUGGAGAGGGAGGCAGCAGCAGCUACCCCAGGGGCAUCCCCAAAGGCACUGCACACCCUCCAUCAGCCCACUGGGGCACUGAGCAUCAGUACCCCAAAGAGCAGGGCCCAAAGCUUUUCCUUACAAAAGGAUGUGAUGUGGGACUCCCCCGUUGCAUCACAGCACCCCAAAAACCCCUUUCCUUUAAAGGGUGUUGGAACAGCCACAUCACAACACAGGGAUGGGACCAGGGAUUUGCUCCCAUGGUGGGAGCAGGAUCCCAGCAUAGGGUCCAUCCCCUUUGGAGCAAGGGUGUUGCCAAGAAUAGGGUAAGAUCCACCCCACACAUAUUGGGUAACUGCAGCAAGAGGAAGAUGUGAGUAGAAGAGACAGGAGAAGCCCUGGAACAAAGGCUGACUCAAUUCCAGAAGUGCUUUGAUUUAUGGAGAUUGAAAUGCUCCAGGAUGCUGCAAACUCACCAAGGUCAUUGGGCCAGUUGUCAAAUUCAAGAGCCAUGGGAGUUCUGAUGUUAUUAGUUUAAAGCAGACCCAGGCUCAUAAAUCUGUCUUCAGAGCUCCUGGCUGAGUGAAAAAGGGUGGAGGGGGAAACAAAAGCCACCAAACAUAACCCAUGGCCAAGCAUUGGGAAGUGCCUGGGGACCGAUCAAAUGGUGCCAGUGAGGUGUGCUGAGCAUCUCCAUUGUGUUGCAGGGGGAUCUCCCCAUUCCCCUUUCCAUCUCCUGUGUCUGGAAGGUACAGCACAAAUGCCCUUGCCUGGUUUGUGCAUAUUCCCUCUUGGCCCCCAUGGUUGAUCUUCCCCAAUUGCAGAGACUUCAGAGCAGAGAUCUGGCCCUGAGACUCCUCUUCCUAAAGCCAUCCUGCCUUCCCAAACCCACAAAUGCUUUUGAUCUCUCUGCUGUCUUUUAAAAUUAAUGAGAGCAGUCAUCGCUUCCCUUCUUUUACAUUUUCUUUCCAUAGGUAAAUGUGGGAUAAAUUAAAACAACCAACUUUUCUACUACAGGUUAUUUAUAUAUAUUAUAUACUGUUGAAGGGUCCCAACAGAAAAGUUGGCAAUACACAAGGCUGUUUGUCAUUCUCCCACCUGAACCUCAUUUAUUCAAAAUCCCAAAUAAGGCCUUGAACUAGAGCAAGUUUUUCUAUUUUCUCUGAGCAGCACUAGGUAGGAUUGUCCAGAGACAACCCCAGAGGUCCAGCAGACACCAGCAUUUAUUGCAUGGAGGAUGACCUGGGUGCUUUUAGUGAAGUAUUCUUAUCAAGAGAAACCUUGAUGGUCCUGGAGCCGUCCUGAGCUUCCCUGGUCUGCACUUGAAUGGAGGGGGUGAAAAGGUGGAUUUUAGGUUCCCCUGUCCCUUAGCCUGUCAUGGAUGAUCAGCUGUAAUCAUUGAUCUCACAGCAGCUGCCCUAAUGAUAGUCAUAAAUCAAAUAAA